rnacentral:lncRNA from 1 species
ACAUACCAUUUUGACACUGAUUUUAAGGGUCAAAUUGGGUGUCGUCUUAUCCCUGGGGUGGUCUUAUAGACGGUAAUAUACGGUACAUAAGAUUAUUUAUUUGUCUGUGAUGUUUUGUUCAUGCAGCGGACAAUACUGUCUCACCAUACUGCUUCUGACACAUCUUCAAACUUGUUGAUUUGUUCAUUAAUGAAGUCUAUAUGUGAUGUUCACGUAUAGUUAGAUAUCUUAAGACUGUUCAUUAUGUUUGUAUACAAACACGUUUGUAAGAUGAUAAACUGUUUUACAUUUGCUGUCAUCACAGAUUACAAUUGUUAGUGUUUUGUGUAAUUGGUUUCCAUGACUACUGAAAGUAGUAAUGCAGAUUGUAUCUUUUCAGAAAGAAAACUGGUAGAAUGGCAUUGUUUCUGAAUGUAAACUAUACUGAUGGAAAUAAAUAUAUGAAUAAGUAUUAUUAUGAAAAUAAUUAAGGUAUUAUUAUGAAAAUAAUUCAAGAUAAAAUCUAUCUUCAUCACCUCAGCUGUGAAUUAUUGUUCAAAAAGGGUUACUACACCGAAGUUGAUCGCUUACUCUCCAGUCCAGUAAUUAGACCUUUGACCUAAAUCACUUAUUUCUUUCCAUCAGUAUAUUCAAAUUUUCAUUUUCAGUUUGUAGUGUGUGUAGCCAGAGUCUGCCUGUGAUAUGUGCCAGUUUAUGUCAUUGUGUGUCGCUGUAAAACAUUGUUCCACAAUACAUGCUAUCAAUAGGCAUUUUGAAAUGUGAAUUUACAAGUUGUAUGUACAAGUAUUUCUUUAGAAACUUGCUUGUUAGACAGCAGUUUUUAGCAUUUAUUUUUCAAUAUAUAUGUUUCAUUGUUGAACAGAUACACACAGGUUUUGUUGAAGUUGAAUGAAUGGUUAAGGUCCAAAGGAUGUGUGUGACCUACAUCAAACAAGCUGUUAUCAGCUGAUACAAGAUUGCUGAUGCAGUGUUAAACAGUCAACAUGGCAUGAAACUAUUCCGAAGCCUGACCAACAAAACAUUUAAUUAUUUAAGCAAAAUUAUUAUCUUAUUGUGAAUGUUUGUCUACCUCACUUAAUUGUAAACAUUCCUUGCAGUCUCAUCAGAACCAUGGAUUAGAUGUGCAGUGUUAAACAAGAGUUGUUAUUGGUUGAAAAACAUAAAUUGACACCUAUGUUCCAUCUGAGUCUUCUAACACAGUUAGUUCUGACACUAAUAAUGAGAUGGCAUUAUUACAAAGUUGGAUACUUAUCAGAGUUUAUAUAGAGCUUUGAGACAAAAUAAUGACAUAUAGAUUAUUCUGUACCAGCCAGUAACACUUCCCGAAGUUCCCCAGUAUACAUGUAGGAACCAUUGUGGAGAGCUGGUUUAGUGUGAUAUGUAGGGAAUGCUGUGGAAAUGAUGUGAUUGUGUUUUUAUUAAGUUUCUUUGUUUUCUGGGGACAUUACAGAGCUACAAUUCACCAUGCAGUGUUGUCUGCAGUGUCAGGUGUAUAUAAUCCUCCAGCUUAGACAUCUUAUACAGAAUGUGAAGCCAUUACUGGUGUCCCCACGCUGUGAUCUUGCUGGAAUAUUGCUAAAAGCAGCGUGAAACCAUACUCACUAACUCUCUCUGAUGCAGAAGUCAUAUGUCAAUAUUGCCAUCGUUUUGGUGUGUAGAUUUCUAUGUUGCUUAUAUUUGCUAGUAGGUUUUAGCACUUGCUUGUAUCCCUAAAGUAAUAUUGGUUCUGGUGCUUCCACAGUUCAAGCUGUGGCCAGUGGAUUGUCUGGUCCAAACAAGAUUAUUUACAGGCUGGAGUGUGGCGUUAAACAUCAAUCAAUCAAUCAAUCAAUCAAUCAGCAGAGGCAGGCCAUCAGGGUGAUAUCAGAGUCAGGGUGUGGUCCAAUGGUUACAGUGUUCAUGUGUGUGUGUGUGUGUGUGUGUGUGUGUGUGUGUGUGUUUUAGAAGUGCAGUUUGUGAUAUUAACUUGAUGAUAUUGAUAUCCUAAUCUUGAUUUGUGUUUGGAUACAAACUGUGCAAUAAUAUCCGUUGUACAAAGUAACUAGGAGGAAUUCUUGCCAGGUAGAAAUCUGUGAAGAUCUGGGUAGAGUUAUUUUCAGUAACCCAUGCUUGUCUUAAGAGGUGACUAACAUAUGGCUUAUGGAACUCAUUUGCUUGAUUGAUGCCUGUGAUCGUAUACCCACCAAGUAGACCGAUGAUCAUGAUGUUAUUCACUGGAGUUUUUACAAACCGCCAUCAUGUAGCCGGUAAAUUACUGAGUGCUGGGAUUUUUUCCACUCCCUUCAAUUUUGCACUUAUCAGAGUUUAAAUGUAUAGGAUCGCUCAUACUGCUGACAGAACCGUUGUAACCAGAAACUAAACUCUUUCUUCAUCUGUACGUGAUGUAUGUGAAUUGAUGGAUUUAAUAGAUUCCUCUGUAGGGAUUCCGGAUAAGAAAACGUCUUCAGCAAUGUAUGCUUGCUGUACCAAGCACCAGAACUUGUGAAUAAAGACUGUUUACAACCAG